UACGUAGGGUGCAAGCGUUGUCCGGAAUUAUUGGGCGUAAAGAGCUCGUAGGCGGUCUGUCGCGUCUGCUGUGAAAACUCGGGGCUUAACCCCGGUCCUGCAGUGGGUACGGGCAGACUAGAGUGCGGUAGGGGAGACUGGAAUUCCUGGUGUAGCGGUGAAAUGCGCAGAUAUCAGGAGGAACACCGGUGGCGAAGGCGGGUCUCUGGACCACUACUGACGCUGAGAAGCGAAAGCAUGGGGAGCGAACAGG
rnacentral:rRNA from 1 species